CCAACUAAGUUUGUUCUUGAUAUGAGCUUUCGUGUGCAUGUGUGUAUUGUGUGUAUCUGAAGAAGUGUGCAUGCACACGAAAGCUCAUACCAAGAACAAACUUAGUUGG